CUCAUUUAAGGGCUGGAAGUGGAGGCAGGGGUCUGUUAUUGGAGGUCCUUGUGAAACUGUGGUCUUCUGAAGCCCCUGUUAUUUUUCUCAUUGGCCGCAGAACCAUCUGCUGGUGUCACCACUCCUGGUCCCUUGGAAAUGGCCUUGUAGAGCAUGAGUCUCUUUCAGAGUUUCUUCAGAAGUAAAUAGGUUCUGAAACUUUCGUGUUGCUCAGGACCCUAAAAAUCUCAGAUCCUUAAAUCCUGUUCCCACAUCAGGAACACUUUUUACAGGGUGGGCCUAUCGACCCACAGAGUGCUGUGAGGAGUGGGUACCAGGACUGGAGGACAAAAAACUGCAGUUGAAGAAGUGGCUGAACAGAGGGUCCAAGUUGGCACUGUUGGUGAAGAACAAACUGGGAUACGGGCCAUCUGGACACAGUCCUGUCCCUCACACAAGCUGUCACCCAGGGAUUGCUCUGGCAGCCGUGGCUGGCUGGCAUGUCCAGGAGUCUCUAUGUUCACAGCCAGAAGGGCAGAUGGCACAGGAUUCACUACAGUGACUUUGCAGCACCUGGUGCCACCAUUUGGGGGUGUGGGGUCCCGUGGAGCCAGGUGAGCCUUGCUGUAUGCAAUGCAGUGUCAUUCAAUUGAGUGCCACAUGGCUGCUCUGCCAUGCUGACCCAGCAAGCUCUCAGACACCUUCAGUAUCACUGGUGCAAACAUUUGGGAUGGGCGUACUCCUUUCCAGCUGGGCUUGUAGUGUUGGGCCCUGCCAAAGAGCUGCCUGAAGUGAGGGAGGACAGUGGAACUCAGCUGACAUCACUUCAGCAAUGCAUUUGCAGUGACCGAUGUCUUCAGCUCACUGCCCUUGGUGUCCUGGGUUGCUCAAGAAAAGGAUAUGAAGAAGAGACAUUGGAAACAUUGAUUGCUCUGAUUGCAUGCCUAAACAUUGGGCAUUGGUUUGCUCAUGGAACAUUAUUAGCAUUUCACCAUCCCUGUAACGAUGCUUUUUUUAUAUAACACUUGUGAUAUGGAAUUUGUCAAAAAUUAAAAUGCUUUUGGGUG